rnacentral:rRNA from 1 species
UACGUAGGGAGCAAGCGUUGUCCGGAAUCAUUGGGCGUAAAGAGCGCGUAGGCGGUCCGGUAAGUCGGUUGUGAAAACUGGGGGCUCAACCCUCAGACGCCGACCGAUACUGUCGGGCUAGAGUCCGGAAGAGGCGAGUGGAAUUCCUGGUGUAGCGGUGAAAUGCGCAGAUAUCAGGAGGAACACCAAUGGCGAAGGCAGCUCGGUGGGACGGUACUGACGCUGAGGCGCGAAAGCGUGGGGAGCAAACAGG